UCAAGUACAAAACCGAAGUGCAAAUGAGCAAUUCAGUCAACAGAUCAAUUCAACGCCCUGCUCCUGUAGAGAACUAAGACCUGUAAUGAUCAGUGUGUCAUUGGCUAUUAUAACUGUGGUUACCAUGGGAAUAAUUGUAUAUGGCAAACAAUGUCACUUAGUGUCUACAAAAAGCCAACAAGCAGUGGAAAUGCAGAGGAUGCCAUUAUAGGAGGAUCUUCAUAGGAAUGCCAACAAAACAGAUCUAAAAUCCAAUAGAUGCUGCUAAUGCUGCUGCCAUUCCUUCCAGAAGUUUUGUGACUUAUUUCAAGAUCAUCUACUCCAAUACAACCG